rnacentral:rRNA from 1 species
UGGAUGAACGCUGGCGGCGUGCCUAAUACAUGCAAGUCGAGCGAACGGACGAGAAGCUUGCUUCUCUGAUGUUAGCGGCGGACGGGUGAGUAACACGUGGAUAACCUACCUAUAAGACUGGGAUAACUUCGGGAAACCGGAGCUAAUACCGGAUAAUAUUUUGAACCGCAUGGUUCAAAAGUGAAAGACGGUCUUGCUGUCACUUAUAGAUGGAUCCGCGCUGCAUUAGCUAGUUGGUAAGGUAACGGCUUACCAAGGCAACGAUGCAUAGCCGACCUGAGAGGGUGAUCGGCCACACUGGAACUGAGACACGGUCCAGACUCCUACGGGAGGCAGCAGUAGGGAAUCUUCCGCAAUGGGCGAAAGCCUGACGGAGCAACGCCGCGUGAGUGAUGAAGGUCUUCGGAUCGUAAAACUCUGUUAUUAGGGAAGAACAUAUGUGUAAGUAACUGUGCACAUCUUGACGGUACCUAAUCAGAAAGCCACGGCUAACUACGUGCCAGCAGCCGCGGUAAUACGUAGGUGGCAAGCGUUAUCCGGAAUUAUUGGGCGUAAAGCGCGCGUAGGCGGUUUUUUAAGUCUGAUGUGAAAGCCCACGGCUCAACCGUGGAGGGUCAUUGGAAACUGGAAAACUUGAGUGCAGAAGAGGAAAGUGGAAUUCCAUGUGUAGCGGUGAAAUGCGCAGAGAUAUGGAGGAACACCAGUGGCGAAGGCGACUUUCUGGUCUGUAACUGACGCUGAUGUGCGAAAGCGUGGGGAUCAAACAGGAUUAGAUACCCUGGUAGUCCACGCCAUAAACGAUGAGUGCUAAGUGUUAGGGGGUUUCCGCCCCUUAGUGCUGCAGCUAACGCAUUAAGCACUCCGCCUGGGGAGUACGACCGCAAGGUUGAAACUCAAAGGAAUUGACGGGGACCCGCACAAGCGGUGGAGCAUGUGGUUUAAUUCGAAGCAACGCGAAGAACCUUACCAAAUCUUGACAUCCUUUGACAACUCUAGAGAUAGAGCCUUCCCCUUCGGGGGACAAAGUGACAGGUGGUGCAUGGUUGUCGUCAGCUCGUGUCGUGAGAUGUUGGGUUAAGUCCCGCAACGAGCGCAACCCUUAAGCUUAGUUGCCAUCAUUAAGUUGGGCACUCUAAGUUGACUGCCGGUGACAAACCGGAGGAAGGUGGGGAUGACGUCAAAUCAUCAUGCCCCUUAUGAUUUGGGCUACACACGUGCUACAAUGGACAAUACAAAGGGCAGCGAAACCGCGAGGUCAAGCAAAUCCCAUAAAGUUGUUCUCAGUUCGGAUUGUAGUCUGCAACUCGACUACAUGAAGCUGGAAUCGCUAGUAAUCGUAGAUCAGCAUGCUACGGUGAAUACGUUCCCGGGUCUUGUACACACCGCCCGUCACACCACGAGAGUUUGUAACACCCGAAGCCGGUGGAGUAACCUUUUAGGAGCUAGCCGUCGAAGGUGGGACAAA